UACAGAGGGUGCGAGCGUUGUCCGGAAUCACUGGGCGUAAAGGGCGCGUAGGUGGCUGGGUAGGUCCGUUGUGAAAACUCGAGGCUCAACCUCGAGACGCCGAUGGAAACCCUCCAGCUAGAGUCCGGAAGAGGAGAGUGGAAUUCCUGGUGUAGCGGUGAAAUGCGCAGGAUAUCAGGAAGAACACCCGUGGCUAAGGCGGCUCCUCUAGUACGGUACUGACGCUGAGACGCGAAAGCGUGGGGAGCGAACAGG
rnacentral:rRNA from 1 species